rnacentral:rRNA from 1 species
UACAGAGGUCCCAAGCGUUGUUCGGAUUCACUGGGCGUAAAGGGUGCGUAGGCGGUCGGGUAAGUCUGACGUGAAAUCUCCAAGCUCAACUUGGAAAUGGCGUCGGAUACUAUUCGGCUCGAGGAAUGGAGGGGAGACUGGAAUUCUCGGUGUAGCAGUGAAAUGCGUAGAUAUCGAGAGGAAUACCAGUGGCGAAGGCGAGUCUCUGGACAUUUCCUGACGCUGAGGCACGAAAGCCAGGGGAGCAAACGGG